rfam:Oceanobacillus picturae, S1, WGS project CCAX01000000 data, contig: 000001
AAAACCUUUAAACAGAUACAGAGAGAUCUGCAAGGUUGCCUUAGGAGACGUGUAUACCCAUAACAAUACACGUAUACCUCUUUGCAACUUUUGCAAAGAGGUUUUUUUAU